GUGUCAGCCGCCGCGGUAAGACGUAGGGCGCGAGCGUUGUCCGGAUUUAUUGGGCGUAAAGAGCUCGUAGGCGGCUCGUUGCGUCAACCGUGAAAACCCGGGGCUUAACUUCGGGCUUGCGGUUGAUACGGGCGGGCUGGAGUUCGGUAGGGGAGACUGGAAUUCCUGGUGUAGCGGUGAAAUGCGCAGAUAUCAGGAGGAACACCGGUGGCGAAGGCGGGUCUCUGGGCCGAUACUGACGCUGAGGAGCGAAAGCGUGGGGAGCGAACAGGAUUAGAUACCCCAGUAGUCC
rnacentral:rRNA from 1 species